UGAUCCAGCAAUGCCGCGUGAGUGAAGAAGGCCUUCGGGUUGUAAAGCUCUUUUGUCAGGGAAGAAAAGGCUGUGGCUAAUAUCCACAGCUGCUGACGGUACCUGAAGAAUAAGCACCGGCUAACUACGUGCCAGCAGCCGCGGUAAUACGUAGGGUGCAAGCGUUAAUCGGAAUUACUGGGCGUAAAGCGUGCGCAGGCGGUUUUAUAAGUCUGAUGUGAAAUCCCCGGGCUCAACCUGGGAACUGCAUUGGAGACUGUAAGGCUAGAGUGUGUCAGAGGGGGGUGGAAUUCCACGUGUAGCAGUGAAAUGCGUAGAUAUGUGGAGGAAUACCGAUGGCGAAGGCAGCCCCCUGGGAUAACACUGACGCUCAUGCACGAAAGCGUGGGGAGCAAACAGGAUUAGAUACCCUGGUAGUCCACGCCCUAAACGAUGUCAACUAGUUGUCGGGUCUUAAUUGACUUGGUAACGCAGCUAACGCGUGAAGUUGACCGCCUGGGGAGUACGGUCGCAAGAUUAAAACUCAAGG
rnacentral:rRNA from 1 species